AAUUUUGUUUUGGUGAUUCUUGGAUGUUUGUGGGCUGCAGUGAGCUUUACAUAAUGUAGCUUUAAAGUGCUGUAAGUAAUGUUAGCCAUUUUUCAACCUUCUGCCAGACUUCAGCCACUGAAUUAGAUCUGCCCUCAUUCCUUCAACCCAAAACCCCGAACCUCCAAAGACAUGUCAGCAAAAACCCAAACGGGCAAAGUUUGGACUGCUCUUCUGACUCUCCUGUGCUGUGCUGUGAGUCUAGUUUCGAUACACGUCACCCAUUUCUCUCAACUCUUUCAGUUCAUAGAGAUAUUUUAUGCAUGCAUUUCCAAAACAAUCGCUUACAGCACUGUUAAUCUUGUCUAAUUCUGCACUUUGCCUUGUAGCUGCUGCUUGAAUCAGAUUCACACACAUCUACUGUCAGUCUCUAUUCAUGUAUUUCUCUCUCUUCAGGCUAAUGUGGGCACGCUCUUCACAUAUACGCUACUCAUAAACCAUCUUUCAUGUUUUCCGGUGCGUUUGAAAUAUGUUUGACGACGUGCACUGUAUAACCCCUCUGGGAGCUGAGUCACUUCUCAUGUCUAUUUCUGUGCAUUUUCAUGCACGUUUUCCACAGAUCAGCAUUAUAAAUAAAAGUGCUAGUCUGGAGAGCCGGUGGGAGUUUUGGAGUGGAGACGUUAUGCAGUGAUUCUCCCGUUCCUCUGUGUCAGCCCACAGUCUCCCACUCACUCAGCCCAGGGUCAGCUGCGUCACGGCGCCUACGAUUCCCACAAUCCCUCGCUCCUGUUAGGGCUCCACACAGGAGACCUCAAUCACACGUAGCAUUACACAGAUCCAUUUAUAUGUAAAGUUGCAUUAAUGAUUGCUCAGUUAUCAUGUAAAUUCAUAAUUGAUUUACCCUGCUGUGCUACAAUACUUGUUUGGUUAAUAAGACACUGUUCAUACUAAGUAUUUAGAAAGGUUGUGUAUAUUGCUUACAUGAGUGCCAAGCUUGCUUGUCUUGGUGUUAUAUGUACAUUUUCCAGUUUUUCAUAUAAAAAUACUAGUUUUUGACCCAGAUAGAUCACAGAUUUUGUGUUUGUUAUUGAUUUAAUUGUUAUAUUUAUUUAUUUAUUUAUUAUUAUUUAUUAUUAAUUAAAUUGCAUAUUGCUCUCUUUUAUAUAUCCACUAUACCGGUCAGAAUUUGGGCAUUUGUAAGUAUUUAAAAAAUAAAUAAAUAAAUAAAAAUCAUCAUAUGAUGUGCAUUAGGCAUUGCACAAACAGAGACAGACGGUGCAUGUGAUGUUUUUAUUUUAUUUAAUCUGCCCUCCGUUCUAGAGACUGGGACAGUGUUUCUGGCUGUUCCUCUUGCUGAAGAUAAAUGACAGAUUUGAUCUCAGGAAGUCCUCUGGAUCACCCUCUCGCAAAGACACCCAACAUCAGGGACAGAGUUUGACUUUGCAGUCCACCUCUUUGUCUUCCACUCAUGACUGGAGAAAAUAAGGCAGUGGGCCUUAUCUGCUGGUGAGAUCAUGCAUCGCUGCUUUAUCCUUCCAUGCAUCGAGCCCAACAUUAUCUGUCGCAUUGGACAUGCCACAGAGUCGCUCCAGUGCUGGAGAGUUCAGCGAAUCAUGCAAAAGCAGCGCACAGAAUCUGGGCGAGCGUGACUCACACAGCCCUGCUGGAGUGUCUGCUGUCAGCAGGUCUGUCUUAGUGGGUGACAGGAGAGAAAUAAUGACAGCCCUGCUCGUAACAUGACAACAGUUUGUGUCAUCGCUGGAAAUCCUGAGCAUGUGGGCAGAAUCUCUCAUCCAGGCAUGAGUUUUCAUCAUCGUGCAUGUUGUUCUUCAUUGUGUACAUAUUUUUGUGCGUUAAGGUCAGAUAUUGCAUCAUUCGGUUUUACAUAAACUCUGGCCAAACAAAAACUGCCAACAAUGUGCCAGGAAGGGCAGAAGGACACAGAGGAGGACAAGUGAAAGAAAGGAAAGGCCACGUUUAAUGAUCCAGAAUCCAAUCUCAGCAACUAAAAUCUCACUCUAAUUAAAUAUUAUGUGAAAAAUGACUUAAAUGUUGGUCUGUUCUACCUACAAAGCUUCCGAAGUCUUGAAAUAUAGCAGCUAUGCCUGAAGGAGUCUUUUUGCUUUGCUUUUUAGUACUUUUAUUGUACUUUUUAGAGUUUGAGAGCUUCAGUCCACCUUUGUUGUAACAGCAUGGAAAAGAGCGAUCAGAAAUUGGCCCAAAUCGAAUACAAGUCCACAAACAUCCAAUCUCAUAUAGAUUUGAUCUGUGCCAGAUGUUUGUGAAAAAAAAUGUACACAGACCGCAGGAAGCCAACCUGAAAGUCCAGGACCUGCACUUUCAUCUCAGCAUCUGAAAGAGAGAGAGAGACGGGUCUGAAGGACAGGAGGACUGACAUUGGGUAUGUCUUGAAUCAUACAACCUUCAUGUGUUGACCGAAAAACAGUAUGCAGAGUGUAUUCACUGCAGAGGAUGCAGAUUUCCUGUAUGCAGGAAACACACAGGUGAUCUACAACAUUUGUCAAAUUGCGCAAUAUGCAAUGCGCUUGACUUGACCUUCCAUUUCCACUGAAAACUCUAGCGUUCAUUAGUGAUUUACUUAUCGUGUUUGUGCUACAGACAUGAAUGACUCAGAUCGUGUGGUUUGUUCAGAAGAGGUGUGCAUUACUCUUUUUAUAAUGAUUAGAUUUACGCUUUCCAUUUAAUGGACAAUAAAAUCAGCUAAAAAUCCAUCAGUCUAACAUUGAAUGAGGAACCUAAGCCAUAUAUACAUACUUGAGUCAAUGACCUACAGAGCCAGUAAACAACCACACAUCAUAGAAACAUGCUUAAAAACACCAAGAACAUCCUAGUAAAUGCAUAGCAAUGUGCUAAAAACACCUAGAAUGUCCUAGCAACCUUAUAGCAACUUCCUGGCAACCACCAAUUGAACAUUGAGCUUUUCUGCAUUGGAAUGCACAACACACAUUUUCUUCAGUUGAUAGAAUAAAUGAAUGAAUGAAUAAAUAAAUAAUCUAGCUGUUUCAUUUAUCAUCUAUUCAUUUAUUUAUG